UGGGGAAUAUUGCACAAUGGAGGAAACUCUGAUGCAGCGACGUCGCGUGAGCGAAGAAGGUUUUCGAAUCGUAAAGCUCUGUCCUAUGGGAAGAAGAAAGACGGUACCAUAGAAGAAAGCCCCGGCUAACUACGUGCCAGCAGCCGCGGUAAUACGUAGGGGGCGAACGUUAUCCGGAAUGAUUGGGCGUAAAGGGUACGUAGGCGGACCUGUAAGUCAGGUGUGAAAGGCAUGGGCUCAACCCAUGUAAGCACUUGAAACUGCGGGCCUUGAGGGAAGGAGAGGUAAGUGGAAUUCCUAGUGUAGCGGUGAAAUGCGUAGAUAUUAGGAGGAAUACCGGUGGCGAAGGCGACUUACUGGACUUUUACUGACGCUGAGGUACGAAAGCGUGGGGAGCAAACA
rnacentral:rRNA from 1 species